UGGGGAAUAUUGGACAAUGGGGGCAACCCUGAUCCAGCCAUGCCGCGUGGGUGAAGAAGGCCUUCGGGUUGUAAAGCCCUUUUGUACGGGAAGAAAAGCUUCUGGUUAACAACCGGGAGUCAUGACGGUACCGUAAGAAUAAGCACCGGCUAACUUCGUGCCAGCAGCCGCGGUAAUACGAAGGGUGCAAGCGUUACUCGGAAUUACUGGGCGUAAAGCGUGCGUAGGCGGUGAGUUAAGUCUGAUGUGAAAUCCCCGGGCUCAACCUGGGAAUGGCAUUGGAUACUGGCUCGCUGGAGUACGGUAGAGGGUGGUGGAAUUCCCGGUGUAGCAGUGAAAUGCGUAGAGAUCGGGAGGAACAUCUGUGGCGAAGGCGGCCACCUGGACCAGUACUGACGCUGAGGCACGAAAGCGUGGGGAGCAAACAGGAUUAGAUACCCUGGUAGUCCACGCCCUAAACGAUGCGAACUGGAUGUUGGGGGGAACUCGCCCUUCAGUAUCGAAGCUAACGCGUUAAGUUCGCCGCCUGGGGAGUACGGUCGCAAGACUG
rnacentral:rRNA from 1 species